GAUUGAACGCUGGCGGCAGGCCUAACACAUGCAAGUCGAGCGGAAACGACUUAUCUGAAGCUUCGGUGGACGAUAAGGGCGUCGAGCGGCGGACGGGUGAGUAAUGCUUAGGAAUUUGCCCAGUCGAGGGGGAAACAGUUGGAAACGACUGCUAAUACCGCAUACGCCCUACGGGGGAAAGGAGGGGAUGCUUCGGCACCUUCCGCGAUUGGAUAAGCCUAAGUGAGAUUAGCUAGUUGGUGGGGUAAAGGCUCACCAAGGCGACGAUCUCUAGCUGGUUUGAGAGGAUGAUCAGCCACACUGGGACUGAGACACGGCCCAGACUCCUACGGGAGGCAGCAGUGGGGAAUAUUGCACAAUGGGCGCAAGCCUGAUGCAGCCAUGCCGCGUGUGUGAAGAAGGCCUUCGGGUUGUAAAGCACUUUCAGCGAGGAGGAAAGGUUGAUGGUUAAUACCCAUCAGCUGUGACGUUACUCGCAGAAGAAGCACCGGCUAACUUCGUGCCAGCAGCCGCGGUAAUACGAGGGGUGCAAGCGUUAAUCGGAAUUACUGGGCGUAAAGCGCAUGCAGGCGGUUUGGUCAGUCAGAUGUGAAAGCCCCGGGCUCAACCUGGGAACUGCAUUUGAUACUGCCAAACUAGAGUCCUUGAGAGGGGGGUAGAAUUUCAGGUGUAGCGGUGAAAUGCGUAGAGAUCUGAGGGAAUACCAGUGGCGAAGGCGGCCCCCUGGCAAGAGACUGACGCUCAGAUGCGAAAGCGUGGGGAGCAAACAGGAUUAGAUACCGUGGUAGUCCACGCCGUAAACGAUGUCUAUUAGGAGGUUGUUCCCUUGAGGAGUGGCUUCCAAAGCUAACGCAUUAAAUAGACCGCCUGGGGAGUACGGCCGCAAGGUUAAAACUCAAAUGAAUUGACGGGGGCCCGCACAAGCGGUGGAGCAUGUGGUUUAAUUCGAUGCAACGCGAAGAACCUUACCUACUCUUGACAUCCAGAGAACUUUCCAGAGAUGGAUUGGUGCCUUCGGGAACUCUGAGACAGGUGCUGCAUGGCUGUCGUCAGCUCGUGUUGUGAAAUGUUGGGUUAAGUCCCGCAACGAGCGCAACCCUUGUCCUAUGUUGCCAGCACUUCGGGUGGGAACUCAUGGGAGACUGCCGGUGAUAAACCGGAGGAAGGUGGGGACGACGUCAAGUCAUCAUGGCCCUUACGAGUAGGGCUACACACGUGCUACAAUGGUCGAUACAAAGGGUUGCCAACCAGCAAUGGUGCGCUAAUCCCAUAAAGUCGGUCGUAGUCCGGAUUGGGGUCUGCAACUCGACCCCAUGAAGUCGGAAUCGCUAGUAAUCGUGGAUCAGAAUGCCACGGUGAAUACGUUCCCGGGCCUUGUACACACCGCCCGUCACACCAUGGGAGUGGGCUGCAAAAGAAGUGGGUAGUUUAACCUUCGGGAGGACGCUCACCACUUUGUGGUUCAUGACUGGGGU
rnacentral:rRNA from 1 species